UACGUAGGUGGCAAGCGUUGUCCGGAUUUACUGGGCGUAAAGAGCGCGCAGGCGGUCGUCCAAGUCGCGUGUGAAAGCCCCCGGCUCAACUGGGGAGGGUCACGCGAUACUGGUCGACUCGAAGGCAGGAGAGGGUAGUGGAAUUCCAGGUGUAGCGGUGAAAUGCGUAGAUAUCUGGAGGAACACCGGUGGCGAAGGCGGCAUCCUGGACCAACACUGACGCUGAGUGAGCGAAAGCCAGGGGAGCAAACGGG
rnacentral:rRNA from 1 species